GGGAUGAAAAAGUGAACUGAACUCACACCCUCUCCUCACAAGCAUCAGUGCACACCCAAGAGACUUGGGACCAGCUCCCUCUCUCGCCUGUUUGUAACCCCUACUACAGACUCCGCGUGACUAACACGAGUAGCUCCUCAUACUGGACGUAGGGCUAUUCCUGCCUAAACCAGUCUAACCCCGUGUCCUCUCACGCAACCAUCCGAGCCUUAUGCGCAUAAAACAAAUUUACUUGCCGUAGUCUUGAUCCGGUAUUCUUGACAUCGACACAUUGCGUCGCUGCUGGUCCUAGGAGGGAGAUGGGAAAUGGGUGGCAGUUAUGAGGGGAAGAUUGUGGAUAGUUGUGAGGUUGAAGAUUUGGGAUGGUAGGAGGAGGUGAAGGUUUGGGAUGGCGGAGAGGAGGUGAAGGGGAACUGAUGGCAAAAAGUUUUUGGAUGCGGAAGAUUUUUUGGGGGGGGGGAGGGAGGGAAGGGGUUGUGGUAUUUGGUUAAUUGGGCCGGUGGCCUGGUCACAUUACCAAUAUACCCUUUUACUAUGGUGGUGGAUGAAACGGGGUGCUUUUGGGAAGGGGAAAACGAAAUUAGAUAUUCCAGAUUUGUCACAUGGCCUGGCCCUAGUGUCUGAAUAUUUGAAUAGCAUGCCAGAAAGAUUUAUGGGGUUGGUUCGUGGCAGCUAAUGGCGACUAAAGGAUGUUUCGCUUAGUAGAAAAUGCUGGACAAACAACUAAAUAGAGGAAUGUCUAGUAGUCUAUUCAUAGACGUUUCUGAUUCUUGGUACAAUCAUGAUUUGUUAUUUCAAAACUUACGAUUUGAAUUCUCUAUCUGUUUUAUUAUUAUAUUAUAUUGAUGCUUUAUCACAUUACUUUUUUAUGAUGUAAUUCAUAGACUAUACACAUUGGAAUCCUAUAUCUUUCCUAUUCUUCUUCCUUCUAUCUACCAUCCCU
rnacentral:lncRNA from 1 species